GAGUAGGCUAAAACUUCAGUGUCCAAAUCUGAAUUUUUUUAUUCAGAGGACCGGCACACAGAAACCUGUUUACUACUAUCCGUGUCCGUCUGUAUACCACAGCUGGCAGGGACGCUUGGUCUCAGACAC
rnacentral:snoRNA from 1 species